GAGUAAGUCCUAUACAACGCUCAGUUGCCCAACCAUGUCAGAUCCGGAAGGAAGCAGCAUCCGGUAAUUUGAGUGUGUGAUAUAGUAAGCUUACUCUCU
rfam:Pelodictyon phaeoclathratiforme BT-1, complete genome.